UACGUAGGGGGCAAGCGUUAUCCGGAUUUACUGGGUGUAACGGGGGCGCAGACGGCGAUGCAAGCCAGGAGUGAAAGCCCGGGGCCCAACCCCGGGACUGCUCUUGGAACUGCGUGGCUGGAGUGCAGGAGGGGCAGGCGGAAUUCCUGGUGUAGCGGUGAAAUGCGUAGAUAUCAGGAGGAACACCGGUGGCGAAGGCGGCCUGCUGGACUGCAACUGACGUUGAGGCCCGAAAGCGUGGGGAGCAAACAGG
rnacentral:rRNA from 1 species